CUCACGUGUAAACCGAGAAAUUGGGAACACUGAGGAGGAUAUCGGCACUGUUGUUAGGACCUUUCUGAAGUCUCAUCACAAUUAACUCCAUGAUGUCUAGUGACACUUGACCAAAGUUUUCCAUCAACAAAAAGGCAAGACUGUGGGAGGAAACCGGAGUACCCAGAGCAAACUGAUUGGUCCAAACCGGGAUUGGAAUUGGGAACCUUCUUGCUGCAAGCUGACAAGACAGAUGGCCCCUCACACAUGGACACACACAAAAGACAGUUAAAGAAAAGAAAGCAAGAUAUUCUCAGAACACUUUUUGAACCCCUUCAUGACCAGAUGCAACAUACGGCAUGCACGUAUCUCACCGGGUGUGACAGCUGUUUUGCCUGUCCCCCUCGAGCUGUAUGAGAUUCACAGCGAGAGCCAAAUGUUUAAACUCUCAAAUUGUUUUCAUUUCAUGUUUCUCUCUGCUUCAGAUGCUGAGAAAUAAAGGUUUUUGUGAAGUUACUCAGGAUGUGGACAGGGAUUAGGGGACAGUGACACAGACAGGGUUAGAGGAUGCAGUGAACGCAGCAGCAUGUCUCUCCAGUCGUUCCAGUUCACUGAGUCACUGGAAAAUAGGAUGAACGACUGUACUGAACCAGACAAAAGGGACGAGAUACAGAGGUUGGAGAAUAACCCAAUCAGUCGGAACAAAAGUUCUUCAACAAAAAAAAAAAGUAAUCCACCCCAUACAAACAGAGCUACAAAGCUGUCACCCUGUAACAUAGCCUGCUAGUAAUGGACAUGCACCUGAUCCGAGGCUUCCACUCCAUGAGUUUUAGAAAACAAAAGAACAUAUGGGAUUUACUGGAUGCACAUUGCCUCCGUGCCUGCAUUGCCACAUUUCAUUCUGGGGGAACCAGCGCUAGAGUCUGCAGAGACACUGGUGUCUUGGCCUCUUCCAUCCAUUUUCAAAAUGUUUUUGUUGCUGUCAGGUCGUGAUGGAAGCAGGUUAAGCAAAAGUAGUCCAGACGUUCCUCUCCACAGCAAUGUUUCCCAGCUCCGCGACGCGAAAGGCGUUACAUUUGCAUCUAGUUGUGUCUUUGCAUUAUACUUUGUAUGGAAUCUCUUCCGUUUAAGUCACUCGAGUUGAAAUAUUUAUACUGAAAUAUUUGCACUGCGCUUUGACGAGAUAGCCAAUUGGAGUUGACAUCCUCCCUACGUCCCGUCAUUGUAACAGAAAUGGAGCAUAACUACUGUCGCUGUGUGUGGGCAGUCCGACAUGAGAUGCUAUUUGUAUCGUGGCCCGGCCAAGAAGGAGAGGGCUUGGCAGAAAGUGAUGAAGAAGUAAGAAGAUAGCUUUCGCAGAGGUUAGCACAACCUCUUUGUAGGGCUUCCUGUCUGCCUUUUUUUCAUUCAUGUGUGUGUUUCUGUCUGUCUGUGUAUUUGUGUGCCUGAUUUUUUAGAGGUUUGGCAGAGAAAGUUGAAGGAAAAAAAAGUCAAGUAUUUGUCUUAUUCGGGUAAAUGACGUGAAUAAGCACAAAUGUUCCAGCGACCAAACUAAUUUACUCACACGACCAAACUUAAAAUCUGUGUCACGUCCAAUGUGAGCGCACCAUUAUAGCUAUCUUAUAUGUUAAUGAUAUCAUUCUCUCAUUGACAUGUGAUGUAAAAUAUGUUUCGUAUUUCAGAUUAUGUGCAUUAGUGACAUUUCAAAGCACCUACGAAUGUGGUUCUUAACUGAAGUGUCUCAUGAUGUAAUAAUGGCAUGUAAUGUGAUGAGAUGUAAUACAACCUUCAUUUAAUCUUUACGAUGUAUCGAAAACAUGAAGAAGCAAUCAAUAUCCUGUUUGCAAUUGUUUAUUUUUGUUUUUAUCUGUGUGUGUCCAUGUGUGUGUGGAUAUAGGUGUGUGCCUGUAUGCAUCUUUAAAGCCAGUUAAUGGCCAUGUUUUGUAGACUGACAACAGUGCUGUUCAUUGUGGUGGAAAGGACAGUCAGACCUGUCUAUCUUUUCCAUCCUUCCCUGUUGUCUCUAUGUCUUUCUCCAUCCUUCCAUCUGAGUGUAGACAUUUGUUUGAAAAAAAGUUCAAGAAGUUAAAUGGAGAUUGUCUUUCUACUUGCAUGUUGUCCCUUCACAAUUGUCACUCUUGCUUUCUUUUUUCUCUCUCUCCCCCUCUCUGCCUCCCAUUUGUUCAUAUUUAUUUUCUGUACACCCUUAACUCCUGGUCUUCUUUCUUCAUUUUUGUCCUGCUCUCACUAUCCUUCCUCUCAUCUUUCACUCGCAAGUUUAAUUCAAAUGUCAUUUUACCAGGUCUUAAAGUGGUGCGUGUUGAGUUUUAAGAUGUCUUCUGGAGAAUCUUGUUUCCGAUGUAAUUCCACAUUCCUUGCAUGCGUAUAAAAGUAAAUCUAGUUAGAGCGGACAGUUGUCAGUGUCUCUAUGUCCAGAACUAUUGCAUGUCAGUGAAAGCAACAGCUCAUCUGAAAUCCCACAUAAAUAAUACAUGGACGACUUAAUGGGUAAGUUGGGCAAAAGCCGACUGCAAAGUACUUUCACACAAAUUUCCCUAAGGCAGGCAAAAGAAGAGAGAAGGGAGCAUGUGUGUGUGCGUGUGUGUGUGUGUGCGUGUCUGAGUCCAUUAGCUUCCAGGUGAUUAAACACUUCAUUCUGCUUCUGAACACAAUGACGUCACUUCAUGAAGUGUCAGAGCUGACUCGAAAGCAAUAAAGAGCAGCGGUCAUCAGAGGUGAAACGUAGAUCAAAUAACAAAUUCAAGCUAGUCAAACUGAUUCAUCAGCCCUGCAACAAAUACCUGUAUCUUUGUGAUGCUCAAAAUGUAGAUGUUCUACAACUCGUUGUGUGCUAUAAAGACCGUCAUGUCAUCAAACUCCAGUAUGGAUACUUUAUUGGUUGUGGCAGAGUUGACUUCUUC